UACGGAGGAUGCAAGCGUUAUCCGGAAUGAUUGGGCGUAAAGCGUCCGCAGGUGGCUGUGUAAGUCUGCUGUCAAAGACCGGGGCUUAACUUCGGAAAGGCAGUGGAAACUGAACAGCUAGAGUAUGGUAGGGGCAGAGGGAAUUCCUGGUGUAGCGGUGAAAUGCGUAGAGAUCAGGAAGAACAUCGGUGGCGAAGGCGCUCUGCUGGACCAUAACUGACACUCAGGGACGAAAGCUAGGGGAGCGAAUGGG
rnacentral:rRNA from 1 species